AACUAACGCUAGCGGCGUGCCUAACACAUGCAAGUCGUACGAGAAAGUCGGCUUCGGCUGAUGAGUAAAGUGGCGCACGGGUGAGUAACGCGUGGAUAAUCUACCCUUGAGUUCGGAAUAACGUACCGAAAGGUGCGCUAAUACCGGAUAAUACUGAGUGACACCAGUUGCUUAGUCAAAGAAGGCUUCUGUUUACAUGCUUUUGCUGAAGGAUGAGUCCGCGUACCAUUAGCUAGUUGGUAGGGUAAUGGCCUACCAAGGCUUCGAUGGUUAGCUGGUCUGAGAGGAUGAUCAGCCACACUGGAACUGAGAUACGGUCCAGACUCCUACGGGUGGCUG
rnacentral:rRNA from 1 species